ensembl:lncRNA
AUGAUGCUGCAAGCAGCACAGGAUAAAUUUCUUGGUGUCUCAAAGCAAUCCAACGAAAGAUUUGUCGAGGAUCUGCACCAUCACCAAAUAGCCCUAUGGACACUUCUCCCAAAUGUCCAACGAGCUGUUAAUGUAGAAAGACAGCUGGAUGCGGAUGCUUGCCAAGAGGACAUGUCUUUGCUCAACCAUACCACAGACAAUUCCCUGAUUUUUCAGAAAAUGAGAGAAACCUUUCAGCACCGUCUGAAGCUUGUUAAUGACCCAAGCAGAGGUGUUGAUAGCCUCUCCGCCUUACCAAGAUUCCUGGAUAGCAAAGGAUUGGUGGAUCAAGACUUCACCCUCCUAUUUGAUCAUGAAACAUCCUCCAGGCUCCUUCAGAAAUGGGAUGUGUUCUUCAGUCCAAAUGUCAUAAAAGAGGCUAAGCGGUUUACUUCAACACCCAGAGUUGCGUCGCUUGUUGCAGUCAGCAGAGUCCCACAGGAAGUGAUCUUGAUGAGACGACAAGCAAACCGCUCCCUACCUUGGGUCUUUGGACAAACUUUCCAAAACCCAUUUUGUGUUUAAUUUGUCGCACAAUGCUGCGUUACUGAAUUGUUACACAUUCUUGCAGACAACAGUGUAACAGUGAUGUGAUGUGGGGAAAAUGAAGGAGUCACCAGUCAGAGACUUGAGAGCCAGACUGCUUGACCAGCUAGUACCGGUCUCAGUCUCUGAGUAAGAGGCUAAAACAAUACUGACCGGUUUCAUGUGUCAGAAUUUGUAUCCCAGCAGCAACUGGAACCGUUGAUAAAUUAUAUAAAAUUACUGGAAACCCAAGGCCUUAGUCUUAGUAGUCUGUGUAGUGUUUGAUUGAGAGGAAUGAUUCUCAAACAGUAUACAAUGAGGAAGAUCCCAAAGUGAUCCUUCAUGGAAAAAAUAUGUUUGAUAUGCAUUACAAAUGUCUCCAAGACAACCCACAAUUGAACUCUGUAUGGGUUGAAAAAGACUUCUACACUUAACUCAUUGAAGUAUUACCAUGUUUGAAAUAAUUGCUCAUUUGAUAUAAUGCAUGACCUUCUUGAGGGUGUGACUCAGAGUGAGAUCAAAUUGCUUUUUGAAUAUUUCACAAAAGACUUAAUAUCACAGCAGAACUUGCUUUCCAGGAUUGAUGGUUUUGACUACGGAUUUUUAGAACGAAAGAAACGUCCCACAAAGAUAAUUUUGGACAGUGCUGGCAAUGGCAUUGGUUUGAAUUCCAUUCAGACAUUGUGUCUUGUGAAAAACAUCCCCCUGUUUGGUGACAUUAUUCCUGCAGGAAACGAAAACUGGAAUGUGUUAUUGUUGUUACUUAAAAUAAUGAACAUGGUUGUUUCACUUUUUCUCACUCUAGGUACGACAAUAUAUUUAAAGCAUUUGAUUGUUGUCACAAACUAUUUAAGCACUUGUAUCCACAUAGAAACUUGCUCGUUAAGCAUCAUUUUAUGACCCACUGUAUAUGUGGUCUAUGAGGUGUGAAGCCAAACAUAAGAUGUUUAAAGGUUAUUUCAAAAACAUUACAAAAUCACUUGCUAAAAAGCAUCAGAUGGCUAUUGCUUAUCACUGGGAAACCUUCACCCUCAAAUAAAAAGAGUCUGGACCAAUUAAGACUUAUUCCCUCAGAGAUGUGAAUGUGGUCAACAAUGAAAUGCUUGAAAUGAUUUUGUCAAAAGAUGUUUUCUCCACUAGUGUUAAAGUUGAUGGUGUAGAAUAUACAUGUGGACUUGUUUGUCUUUUGUCAAAUAUGUGAUGUACAUUUGGUUGAAGGUAAAACAUUUAGUUUAUUAACAAACAAGCUAUUCACCCAUAAUUCUUUUGAUGACCAUCAUCGUGCAUUUCGAGUGUUACAAAGUGAGGAAAAGUUCAUAAUAAUGUCAGCUUAAAUUCAAUAAGCAAUUUGAUAUUCAAAGCUCAUACAAUGUUUCAGAUGAAAGUUUGUACAUUAUACCAUGAAAAUGGCUUUGUUUAUUGGAAUCAAUGAAUAUAUUAUUUAAUAACAUUAAUUAGUGUUACUUUAACUCUGUUUUGUGAGUUAAAGAAGGAACUCUGGCACAGUGUUACAUAUUUAACUAUUAUGAAAGUGUGGACCUAAUAAACCCUGAAAAAGUGUUGAAAUCAACUCUGGGAGUUAAUUCAACACUGGACUUUUUGCAAGGUCCAGGGUGUGGUUUAAAAAGGUGAGUUGGUUUAUGUACAUUCUGAUUGAACCUAAUGAGAUAAACGCGUUUUUAAGGCUGUCGUUAUCGAUAUCCACAUGAAUAUUAAAGUCACCUGCGAUAAUUACUUUAUAAUUAUUAUUUAAGGACUAAAUUCUGAGAAUUCAGAUGUAAAUUGACAACAGUAUAACAAAUAAAAUUGGCUUUAUUUUUUUCCAUGUUGGGAUUGAAAGCGUAAGAACAAGGCUUUUAGGUUUAGGAUUGAUUAAUAAGCUUGAGUGCAACUCAUCGAGUGGAUUCAUCGAGACUGACAUUCUUCAUGUCUCAGCCAAGCUUCAGUGAGACAAAAUCAAUCUUAUCUGAUAUUAAAUCAUUUACUAGUCCAGCUGUAGAUGACAAAGAUCUGAUGUUUAAGAGCCCACAUUUAAUUGUUAGUUGCACUUUAGAAGCGGUGGUGUUAAUUUUUAACUCCCCCUCAUUUAACAUUGAUUUGAUUAAUUUCAGUGGUCGUGGGGCAGACACAGU